rnacentral:rRNA from 1 species
UACGUAGGGUGCAAGCGUUGUUCGGAAUUAUUGGGCGUAAAGGGCGCGUAGGCGGGUUUGCAAGUCGAUUGUGAAAUCCCUGGGCUUAACCUAGGAAUUGCAGUCGAAACUGCAGAUCUUGAAUGCCCGAGAGGAUGGCGGAAUUCCCGGUGUAGAAGCGAAAUUCGUAGAUAUCGGGAAGAACACCUGAGGCGAAGGCGGCUGUCUGGUGGUGCAUUGACGCUGAGGCGCGAAAGCGUGGGGAGCAAACAGG